rnacentral:rRNA from 1 species
CCUACGGGGGGCUGUAGUGGGGAAUAUUGGACAAUGGGGGGAACCCUGAUCCAGCCAUGCCGCGUGUGUGAAGAAGGCCCUCGGGUUGUAAAGCACUUUCAGUGAGGAAGAACGCCUGGUGGUUAAUACCCAUCAGGAAAGACAUCACUCACAGAAGAAGCACCGGCUAACUCCGUGCCAGCAGCCGCGGUAAUACGGAGGGGGCGAGCGUUAAUCGGAAUUACUGGGCGUAAAGCGCGCGUAGGUGGCUUGAUAAGCCGGUUGUGAAAGCCCCGGGCUCAACCUGGGAACGGCAUCCGGAACUGUCAAGCUAGAGUGCAGGAGAGGAAGGUAGAAUUCCCGGUGUAGCGGUGAAAUGCGUAGAGAUCGGGAGGAAUACCAGUGGCGAAGGCGGCCUUCUGGACUGACACUGACACUGAGGUGCGAAAGCGUGGGUAGCAAACAGGAUUAGAUACCCUAGUAGUC